rnacentral:rRNA from 1 species
AGUGAACGCUGGCGGUAGGCCUAACACAUGCAAGUCGAACGGCAGCACAGUAAGAGCUUGCUCUUACGGGUGGCGAGUGGCGGACGGGUGAGGAAUACAUCGGAAUCUACUUUUUCGUGGGGGAUAACGUAGGGAAACUUACGCUAAUACCGCAUACGACGUACGGGUGAAAGCAGGGGAUCUUCGUACCUUGCGCGAUUGAAUGAGCCGAUGUCGGAUUAGCUAGUUGGCGGGGUAAAGGCCCACCAAGGCGAUGAUCCGUAGCUGCUCUGAGAGGAUGAUAAGCCACAUUGGAACUGAAACACGGUCCGGACUCCUACGGGGGGCAGCAGUGGGGAAUAUUGGACAAUGGGCGAAAGCCUGAUCCAGCGAUACCGCGUGGGUGAAGAAGGCCUUCGGGUUGAAAAGCCCUUUUGUUGGGAAAGAAAAGCAGCAGGUUAAUACCCCGCUGUUCUGACGGUACCCAAAGAAUAAGCACCGGCUAACUUCGUG